rnacentral:rRNA from 1 species
GACGAACGCUGGCGGCGUGCCUAAUACAUGCAAGUAGAACGCAGUUGCGAACGAGUGAGUCACGCGUAGGUAACUGCCUAUCAGAGGGGGCUAUCUAUUGGAAACGAUAGCUAAUACCGCCUACUAGUAGAUGGACCUGCGUUGUAUUAGCUAGUAGGUCGGGUAAUGGCCUACCUAGGCGACGGUACAUAGCCGACCUUAGAGGGGUAUCGGCCACACUGGGACUGGAACACGGCCCAGACCCCUACGGGAGGCAGCAGUAGGGAAGCUGCGGCAAUGGGGGGAACCCUGACCGAGCAACGCCGCGUGAGUGAAGAAGGUUUUCGGAUCGUAAAGCUUGGUUGUUAAGGAAGCGGUACUUAACCAGAAAGGGACGGCUAACUACGUGCCAGCAGCCGCGGUAAUAC